CACGAGAAGACAUCAGAGAAACCCACAGUGAGAGACUAUCUAUAAAAGAGCUGGUCUGAAUUCUUGCCAAGGUCAUGAAAGAAACAGACUGAGUGACCAUCACACGUUGAAGGAGACUGAGGUGGCCUGGACCCUAAGAUCUCAAACAGCUCUUCUAUCCCUGCACCCGUGCUGAAGCAAUGAGCACAUCGUCUGAAGGUGCCCAGGAUGGCGGUCCACGCCUACCUCCCACUGCGUUGCAGCGAGACGUCAUCUCCCAGAGCACCAGGGCCAUGGAGUAGACAUCCGUCUGCUUGAAGGACUCGACAUUCUCCAGAUUCAUCCUGGACUCGAGGACCUCUGGAGCCAUGUACCUCGCGGUUCCCACCUGAAGAAGAACACACACAGAGCCCGUCAUCGACUCCCGCUGCAGGUCUGCUUUCAAACAGCCGACGCUUGGCCCCUACUGAGUAGUCAGUGCGUCUUUAAAAAGCAUGGUGCUGUUUAAGAUAAUGAGACCUGCACAGAAAGGUAGGGCUUAUGUAAUUUUUAAAAAAAACAGGUUGUCUCUCCCUGAAAAACCUUGAAAGAACAUAAAGGACAAAUGCCAAAGUAAGAAAAUGGCAAAGCCCAGAGCUCCUGUGUCUAGGCUCAGGACACAAGACAUCAAACCACAUGUGCAGUAACGUCCUUGCAGAGAACCUGAGACCACACUGGUGACUGAUGCCUGUCAGUGCUUUUCCAAGCAUUUAAAGACAUCACUGUGAAGAGAUCCGCAGGCUUCGCUAGGCGUCCCAGCAUGCACGGCACACAGCACCAGAGAGCUCUGGCGGAGUGAAGGCGGCGAGUGCUGGUCUUUCUGCCCGGGUUUCCUGGAGCAGAAACUUCCAGACGCCUCUGUUUCUGCAGGAACUGAGUAAGGGAGGAAAUGGUGCCAACAAGCGAUCCUGACCCUCCUGGGGGUGGUGUGUUGUAUGCGCCACGGACAAGGGUAGAUUCUACCCUUGUGAGGGGAGCUCUGCAGUGGAAAAGGAUGGGAAACCCUCCUCUGAACUAAGUCUAUGAAGAACCAUGGAGAAAACCAGCCCAUCAUGGGUUUUACUGAGCUGAGU